AAGAAAAAUAGACCUUGGCAUCUCAAAGGACGUCAGCAGAGCUGGCCAGCGGGCACACGGCCAUCAGCCCUCACUACGGUUGACUCCAGAUGAGCCAUCUGAGGUCAACCUGAGACAGAGGGCUGUAAAAAGAAUGAGCAACAGCUGGAUGAACUGAGAAUGAGCGAUUUCCAAGAUACAUUAUUAAGUGAAAAAGCAAACUGAGUAUAAGAAAGGGGAUCGGGAAAACAUUUGUGUACCUGCUAAUCCUACAAAAGAAACAUAGGAAGGAAACGCGGACACCUGGCCAGUGCCCUCCAAGUGUCGAGGUCACGAAAGCCAGGGAACGGCUGCGCCCGUCACAGCCUAGAAGGCCGAGGAGACCAGGCAUGGCGAGGGCUCUGAAGCGAGUCCCGCACAGAACAAGGACGAGAUGGGGAAGCGGACGGGAUGCUAAGGGCUGCAGGUGACUCGCAGCACCACGCACAUUCCCGCCUCUGACAGCUGUGCCAGGGGAACACGUGAGGGGCUGGAUGGGGAAGAGGGUCCUGCCACGCGCGAGGGAGAGGGGCUCCCACUACGCAGAACGCUGAGCCCGGGGCAGAGAAAAGGCCAGGGGGCUCACUGCAUCACCGCCCAGCACUUUCUAACUCUGAGAAACCACCUCUGGCCCCCAGGGAAGCCUAGGGAGGAACAGCGCCCGAGCCCCCACGACGCGCACUCACCUGCGGAGGAGGGACUGCUGCAGGCUCCGGCAGGUGCUGAGCGACUCGCCGGUGAACAGGUGGCACACGACCACGUGCAGACAGCGCGCCAUGAAGGCCAGCACGGCCUCGGGCUGUAGGGUGCCACUGCGGGACACCAGGCACAGGCGCUGCAACGCAGAGCACUGGCUCAGCGCCUGGAAGAACUGGGCGUUGGCGCUGAAGUAGGGCUGCUCCAGCCUGCAGGGAGAGAGGACGGACAGCGUGAGAUCGCGGAGAUGGACGCACGCUGAGCGGGGCUCCUGGUCCAGGGCCCAGACUGGCUGCCCCCAGGCCCAUCCACACCACAGCCCCCAGGGGUGCCGGGUGAGGACUCAGACCCCUGGGGUCUCCCUUGGUGAUCCUGAUCUGGGGGGAGACCCUGCAGGCCCGACGCAACCAGAUGCCCACGGACCCAGCCAAGUUGCUUCGUUCGCCGCUCUGACUGCUCGGUGCGCCUACAGACCCAGAAGAGCGCGUGGCAAUUGAAUCGGUCUCCCAAAAGAUCUGUUGCAUUCCUAAUCCUUGGUACCUGCACACAUGGCCUUAUUUGGAAGCAGGGUCUUUGCAGACUAAGAUGAAGUCACGUGGGACUGGGGUGGGUCCAGUGACCGGUUCCUUAGACGCAUUGUGACGGCACAGCAACACAGGAACACGCAGGGAGCUCGGGGCUGGAGUGACGCGUCCAUAAGCCAAGGAACACCUCGCACUGCCAGCAGCCGCCGGAAGCUAGGGGACAGGCCUGGAACAGGCCCCCACCCAGAGCUUCCAGAAGGAACCAUCCUGCCGACACCUUGACCGGGGACUUCCGACCUCUUAACUAUGAGAGGGUGACUGUCUGUUGUUUUAAGCCACCCGGCUGGUGGUCAUUUGUCAGGGCAGCCCCAGAACACUAGCACAGAAGCCAGGGAGAGGAAGCUGGAGCAUGAACAGAGCACGGAGAUCGUUUCGCAAUAAAUCACACAGAAAGACCAAGACGGCCCCAUGGACAGAGGUCAAAGUGGAUCCUGUUUACCCAAAAUCCUCCCACAAGAAAACACAAGAAAACCUAUUAACAAGGGUUAUCCCUGGAGAUGAGCACCAGACCCGGGAACCGUCCUCAUUUUAUAGCACUCAGCGGCACCUCGGUCCUUCUCAGACAGGCACGUGCCUCACUUGACGCUUCUAAAACCAUUCUGACUGCUGCGCGGAGUCCCGGUUACCCGGCCAGAGCCGCUUCAAGGCUGGCGGCACGAGCGGGAGAGGCCAGGCAGAGAUUUCCACCCAAAGCAGGCAGAAGGCACACAAGCACCGCAGCGGGCGGGAGAAGGGCUUCACGGAUGAUGGAGAUCUGGGCACGUGUGCAGGAAACUGCAGUUCAGGGGCUACGUCUGAACCCGAUGGCUGAAAAGGAGGACGCUUCAAAGGGUGGCCACUGGGCACCCAGCAAGGCUCUCUCUCAACGAGCCACGAAGGCCUCUGAUGGACAUCGUGCCAGCCACGUGGGGCCUCAGCCCUCCGAGCAAGCCGGCCGGCCCGGGAGAACAGCGCUCUGCCAGGCUGCGCCCGAGCUGUGGAAACAGUGCCUCAGGUCGGGGUGGCACUGUCCCCUGAGGCUGGCCACCCCCAAGGCCCAGGCACCGCACAAAUCGCUCCCUGCACAAACACGGCGUCUUGCCCGGGACUGUGGGUGUCUCUGAGCCUCAGCUCUGCCCACGGGACAGCCACUGGCCCUCCAGGUGGGCCGGGGCAGCUGGCAAGACCCCCAUCUCCGUGCGAGACCCACAGGGAACCCCGAGAGGCCUGUCUCUCCCCAUAAACUGACGAGGCCGAGUGGGUGACUUCCUGGGACGCCCCUGAGAGGCUCGUCUGCAGCUGUAGAAUCUCAUCAUCAAAGGAGAGAAGCUUCUGGGGUGAGUGGAACGGCCCUCCCCCAUCCCCGAGAGGCGGUGGGCCUGCAGUGAGGACAGAGUCACCACCACCACCGCCCCCCCCAGGCGGAAGGAGAGCCCAAGCGCUCUGGACGCAGCGACGUCCCAGGUGAGGCUGACCUGGACGAGGGUGAGGGGCCGUCCACAGGCCCAAACGAGAGCCACGUGAGCCUCGGACACAGCCUCCACAGCCCUGACACCUGGGGAUGCUGACAAGUCACAGGACGGGUGAGGGGCUUUAAAAUCAAGUCUGCG